CUCAUGUUUUCAUGUUAAAAAUUAAAGCUUUUCCAAAAGUGUUAUUUGUGUUGAAAGUUUAUGGAAAUGUAUUCAAUUAUCCGGUGCAAGGCAGAUAGUUAUCUUAAUGAUUGAUUAAUGUUGAUCUAAACCAAACUACUCUUCUCUUCCCCUUGUCUCCCUCCAGACAAAAAUGAAAAGAAAAAGGGUGUAAUGCUAGACUUGCUCAGUACUGGAAAGCAUUUGCUAAACAAACAAAAAUUCUGUUUGUUUUAUAACCCAA
rnacentral:lncRNA from 1 species